AGGCGAAUACCGUCUAAUCUGGAUAACGGCCGACCUUGUUUCCUUUGUCAUAAUUGUAGGGAUUUUUAUCUUCCAGAAGUGGCGCUUUGGGAGCAUUCGCAGCUACAACCCGGAGCAGAUCAUGCUCAGCGCUGCCGUCCGGCGGUCCAGCCGUGAUGUCAACAUCAUGAAGGAAAAACUCAUAUUUUCAGGUUCUAGCCUCUAGAGGGCGCCGGGCUCCCAGACUUGGGGGUUUUCUUCAGCCUGGAGCGUAAGUC